CAAUCAUAAUUGGUAUAUUCAAGUUGCUCAAACGCGAAUAUCUUUAGCGAUAGAUUUUUAAUUGAUUUCGACAUACGUACCUGACUAUCAUCACAGUUUCUAUUCAUCAUGGGGUCAACCAAGAUUCUCUUUUUGAUCGCGAUCCUCAUCCACAUCGCCGUAGCCCAAGAUCGCCAAUGUUUUUUUGAAGGUUGUCUUUUUGCGGGUCCCACCCUGAACCUGGACUCGCCUGACUUGGCCCAAACCGUUCAGGAUUGCCAAUGGCUUUGUCAACAAACACCUGAUUGUCUUUAUUGGAAUUGGGUGUCUCCCGAAUAUGACGGACCUGCUUACCAAAUCUACACGUGUUGGCUUUUAUCUGACAGCCCUAUUCUAUUAGUGGAACAGGGUCUGCUUGGUGGUGAACGAGAUUGUGCGGACAUACCCGCAUAAAAUUGAUCUGUCAUCUAUCUAUCCAUCAGGGUUGUGAAGAAUAAAUCGCUUUGCUGUUUAUGAGCUUGCUCAUUUUCAAAUGUAACCAUCCAUAUAUACGAAUUACUAACAAAGGCUUGACUAAAGGCAGUCAGGCUAUUUGUUCAGGAGUUCCUAAAACAUGUUCCAUCAAGGUAUUGGUUUGUGAAAAAAGCAACUAGAAUCCUAAAAUAUAUGGAAAAAAUGAUUCAAUUUUGCAUCAGAAUUUAUUCAAUUCUUAUUCGUUUCUUCCACUCCAUUUUUGUUUACCUAAAUGAUGAAUCUGUUGACUCGAACUUACUUUAGCGCUCCCUAAGUCUCUACAAAUAAGAUUUUAUAGGCCUAUAGCUAAAGAAGGGCUUAUCAUUAAUCAUUCAACAAUCAUAGUAUAGACAAGCACAUCAUGUUCUUAACUCAGUUUGUUAUUCUCAUUUGCUGCUGCCUCAUUCAAAUUAUAGUAGCUCAAAACCACCAAUGUUUCUACACGAAUGUCUUAUUACCGGCCCCCACGUUGAAUCUCUUUGAUCCAGACCUGACUCGAACUGCCCGAGAUUGUCAAUGGCUUUGUCAACAAACCAAAGCUUGCCUGUUUUGGAAUUGGGUGUCUCCCCAAUAUGCAGGCUCGGUCUAUCCAAUCUACACUUGUUGGCUUCUGUCUGACAAAUCGAUGCCUAUAGUCUUCAAUGGUUUAAUGGGCGGCGAUCGAGACUGCGAGGACGUGCCUCUUGUCUAAUUUGUACGUGUCAUUAUCGAAAAAGGGUAAAUAAAGACUUCUUUCACUUGAA